ACAAAUUUACUCACUUCAGAGAUAAGUUACAAAUUACAAAUUAAGAGGGGGUGUUAAAGUAUAAUAUGUAAUUUGUAAUUUGUACAAGUCUCUAGAUAUAUGAGUAUAAUAUCAAAUCAUGGAGUUCUCUAGAAUACUAGAGAACAUGUUUGGAAAAAUAUCUAUAUAAAUAAAAUAUCUAGAGUCUAGAAUAAUGUAGAGCUAGAGAAAUAUCUCAUGUAUGUGGAAAAAUCUAGAACUAUCCAACAAGUCUAUAA
rnacentral:lncRNA from 1 species